GGAUGAACGCUGGCGGCGUGCCUAACACAUGCAAGUCGAACGGAUUUAUAACGAAACCUAGUGAAUUAUAAGUUAGUGGCGGACGGGUGAGUAACGCGUGGAAAACCUGCCGUAUACUGUGGGGAUAACACUUAGAAAUAGGUGCUAAUACCGCAUAAGCGCACAGCUUCGCAUGAAGCAGUGUGAAAAACUCCGGUGGUAUACGAUGGUUCCGCGUCUGAUUAGCUAGUUGGUGAGGUAAAAGCCCACCAAGGCAACGAUCAGUAGCCGGCCUGAGAGGGUGAACGGCCACAUUGGGACUGAGACACGGCCCAGACUCCUACGGGAGGCAGCAGUGGGGGAUAUUGCACAAUGGGGGAAACCCUGAUGCAGCGACGCCGCGUGAGUGAAGAAGUAUUUCGGUACGUAAAGCUCUAUCAGCAGGGAAGAAAAAUGACGGUACCUGACUAAGAAGCCCCGGCUAACUACGUGCCAGCAGCCGCGGUAAUACGUAGGGGGCAAGCGUUAUCCGGAUUUACUGGGUGUAAAGGGAGCGUAGACGGCUGUGCAAGUCUGAAGUGAAAUGCCGGGGCUCAACCCCGGAACUGCUUUGGAAACUGUACAGCUAGAGUGCAGGAGGGGUGAGCGGAAUUCCUAGUGUAGCGGUGAAAUGCGUAGAUAUUAGGAGGAACACCGGUGGCGAAGGCGGCUCACUGGACUGUAACUGACCUUGAGGCUCGAAAGCGUGGGGGAGCAAACAGGGAUUAGAUACCCCUGGUAGUCCACGCCGUAAACAAUGAUCACUAGGUGUCGGGGGUUAAAGAACCUUCGGUGCCGCAAGCCAACGCAGUAAGUGAUCCACCUGGGGAGUACGUUCGCAAGAAUGAAACUCAAAGGAAUAGACGGGGACCCGCACAAGCGGUGGAGCAUGUGGUUUAAUUCGAAGCAACGCGAAGAACCUUACCAGGCCUUGACAUCCCCCUGAAUGGGUGGUAAUGCAUCCAGCCCUUCGGGGCAGGGGAGACAGGUGGUGCAUGGUUGUCGUCAGCUCGUGUCGUGAGAUGUUGGGUUAAGUCCCGCAACGAGCGCAACCCUUGUCAUUAGUUGCCAUCAUUAAGUUGGGCACUCUAAUGAGACUGCCGGUGACAAACCGGAGGAAGGUGGGGAUGACGUCAAGUCAUCAUGCCCCUUAUGACCUGGGCUACACACGUGCUACAAUGGACGGUACAACGAGAAGCGAACCUGCGAAGGCAAGCGGAUCUCUUAAAGCUGUUCUCAGUUCGGACUGUAGGCUGCAACUCGCCUACACGAAGCUGGAAUCAAUAGUAAUCGCGGAUCAGCACGCCGCGGUGAAUA
rnacentral:rRNA from 1 species